UCCAGGGUAGCCUAGUGGGUAACCAUCUGCCCGGUAAGCGGAAGGUCGUGGGUUCGAUUCCCGCCCCUGGAC